rnacentral:rRNA from 1 species
GACGAACGCUGGCGGCGUGCUUAACACAUGCAAGUCGAACGAUGAAGCUGGAGCUUGCUCUAGCGGAUUAGUGGCGAACGGGUGAGUAACACGUGAGCAAUCUGCCCUUGACACUGGGAUAACUGCGGGAAACUGUAGCUAAUACCGGAUACUUUCACCGGGGGGCAUCCUCUGGUGAUGAAAGAAUUUCGGUCAAGGAUGGGCUCGCGGCCUAUCAGCUUGUUGGUGAGGUAACGGCUCACCAAGGCGACGACGGGUAACCGGCCUGAGAGGGUGACCGGUCACACUGGGACUGGGACACGGCCCAGACUCCUACGGGAGGCAGCAGUGGGGAAUAUUGCACAAUGGGCGCAAGCCUGAUGCAGCAACGCCGCGUGAGGGAUGAAGGCCUUCGGGUUGUAAACCUCUUUUAGCAGGGAAGAAGCGAAAGUGACGGUACCUGCAGAAAAAGUACCGGCUAACUACGUGCCAGCCGCCGCGGUAA